rnacentral:rRNA from 1 species
CCUACGGGAGGCAGCAGUCGAGAAUCAUUCACAAUGGGGGAAACCCUGAUGGUGCGACGCCGCGUGGGGGAAUGAAGGUCUUCGGAUUGUAAACCCCUGUCAUGUGGGAGCAAAUUAAAAAGAUAGUACCACAAGAGGAAGAGACGGCUAAAUCUGUGCCAGCAGCCGCGGUAAUACAGAGGUCUCAAGCGUUGUUCGGAAUCACUGGGCGUAAAGCGUGCGGGGGCUGUUUGGUAAGUCGUGGGUGAAAGUGGCGGGGUCAACCCGCGGACGGCCCAUGAUACUGGGCGACUAGAGUAAUGGAGGGGGAAGCGGAAUUCUCGGUGUAGCAGUGAAAUGCGUAGAUAUCGAGAGGAACACUCGUGGCGAAGGCGGGUUCCUGGACAUUAACUGACGCUGAGGCACGAAGGCCAGGGGAGCGAAAGGGAUUAGAUACCCCUGUAGUC